UGAGGAAUAUUGGACAAUGGAGGCAACUCUGAUCCAGCCAUGCCGCGUGCAGGAAGAAUGCCCUAUGGGUUGUAAACUGCUUUUAUUUAGGAAGAAACCCCCCAACGUGUUGGGGGCUGACGGUACUAAACGAAUAAGGACCGGCUAACUCCGUGCCAGCAGCCGCGGUAAUACGGAGGGUCCAAGCGUUAUCCGGAAUCAUUGGGUUUAAAGGGUCCGCAGGCGGGCUAUUAAGUCAGUGGUGAAAUCUCUUGGCUUAACCAAGAAAUUGCCAUUGAAACUACUAGUCUUGAAUUCGGUCGAAGUGGGCGGAAUGUGUCAUGUAGCGGUGAAAUGCAUAGAUAUGACACAGAACACCGAUAGCGAAGGCAGCUCACUAGGCCUGAAUUGACGCUCAGGGACGAAAGCGUGGGGAGCGAACAGG
rnacentral:rRNA from 2 species